UGGUGUCAGAUGGAAAGAGGGGAGGAGGGAGUAAAGGGUGAGGCACUCGGCCAUCAUCAGCGGAGGCGCGUAGUUCAGUGACCCUCCGCAUCGUCGCGUGAAGAAGGGGGGCGCGGGGAGUUCUGACAUAUUGUGAGAUGCCAGCCCGCUAACGCCGGUCCCCGAAAAACAUCUCUCUCCGUCUCUCUCCCUCUCUCUCUAUCUUGCUCUCGCUCUUUCUUUGCUUCACGCUCGUUCUGUCUCAGUCUUUUCUACUGAUAUUUUCUCUUUCUCUCUUCUAUCCGUGACGUGCGGGCGUACACGCACUCUCUCUCUCUCUCUCUCUCUCUCUCUCUCUCUCUCUCUCUCUUUCUUUCUCAUUCACUCCUUCGUCGACACGUUACUACCGCCGCGGCUCGUCAAAAUCCCCGAAAUAUUCAUACCGCCAGUCGUGAACUUUCCGCGAGUUUUUCCGGUGCGCGAGCGUGAGCGAAGAGGUCGGUGUUCUCUUCGCAAGAGACAGAUACAAGUGAGAAAGAGAAAGAGAGAGGACGCAGUCGCGUCGCGUGCACGAUUUUUCGCUCGCGCGAUCAUAUACACUCUGGGUGUCUCCCCGAAAUUCUGAAUCGACUGAAAAAAUCUGAUUGCGGCCGCGAGUGUUUCGAUACCGUGCUAUACGCGUGUUAAUACAUUAUAUAUGUACAUGAACAAAUUCUUGCUCUCCUUCACUCUUCCAGAGCUCGUCCUCCACCGUUUGCUUCAUCUUCCUAUUCAUCAUUGCAUCAGUUUCUCCGUAACAUUCUCCGGGAUUUCCUCUUCUCCUUCAAACACGCGAGCAUUGAACGAAAGUACACUGUGUUCCUCCGUUUGUCCAAGUAGAGAAUUUCUCAUCUGAUCAAUGAAAAUCGAUUCGCGAAAAUAUUCAUAAUAUUGUUUAAUAUUUUUUUCAUUUUUUGUCAACUUCGUGUUCUCUAUUCGCUCAUCACAUAAAAAUCGCGAAUACGCGCAAGUGGUGUGUGUAUGGCUGUUGCGUACGCGUGUCAUGCGAAACGUAUGUGAGGUAGUGUAAUCGAAUUGUGCGACUAGAAGAUCUCGAGGUGAAAAAUACUACGAAGAAGAACGCGUGUGCACGCAUGUAUAUGCGUGAUUCCAUACUUUUCUGUCGCGCUUGCGCGCUAUCCUCGUCGCGCGAUUGCACUUUGGACGAAAGAUUGUUCAUCUCUACAGGGACAAGAUUUGAAGAAAAAUCAAAUUUCAUUUUGCAAUGGGAAGUUUAUGUCCAACAUUAUUGACGAACUCUAUGCUCACGUGAAAUUGUUUAUAUUUCUUCUAUCAAUGUGGAAUAAUGUGGCAUUGUUUAUUGUUUAUAUUUCUUCUAUCAAUGUGGCACAAUGUAGUAUAAAUUCUAUGGGAAUUGCUAUGAGAAUUUCAUCUUCAAGAGAAAUCUAAAUCAACGAUUAUGCAUCGCAGUUGAGCAUUACGAUCUGAAACAUCUUUCGAAAAUGACCCUUGCAUAAUAACUAAUUAAAGACUAAUUCAAGGACGUCCAUUUGACGGACGACCGAUUUUGAUUGCAAUCACGCGUACGGAUCUACAGGAUCGAGCCGCGAGAAAUAAAUUGUUCCACCGAUAAAUCGUAAAUGAAAUCAGCAAGAAAGACCCGUAAAUGGAAGGAAGUCUGUCAGGAUUUGGCGGGCCUACGUGGGGUGCGGACAGUACGAGUCCUCAGUCGACGGAAAGAUCGAGAGAGAGAUCCGCGCAGCCUCCCACCGGCACUGGCAGUGCGAUCCUCGAUGAUCGUAGAUUGCCGGCCAAUUCGAUACGAGCCCAGAUCGAGAUAAUCCCGUGCAAGGUGUGCGGGGACAAGAGCAGCGGCGUGCAUUACGGCGUGAUCACCUGCGAGGGCUGCAAGGGCUUUUUCAGGCGAUCGCAGUCGUCGGUCGUCAACUAUCAAUGUCCGCGGAACAAGAAUUGUGUGGUCGACCGUGUAAACAGAAACCGGUGCCAGUACUGUCGGUUGCAAAAGUGCCUACGCCUCGGCAUGUCAAGAGAUGCCGUUAAAUUUGGGCGCAUGUCGAAGAAACAACGGGAGAAGGUCGAAGAUGAAGUUAGAUUCCACAGGGCACAAAUGAGGGCGGCCUCAGAGACGGCGCCGGACAGCAGUGUGUUCGAGCAUCAAACACCAAGCAGUUCGGAUCAACACCAUCCCUAUAAUGGCGGGUACACAUACGGUGGUAGCGAAUACACGUCGUCAGGUCCCGGCACCGGCGGUUACACGAAUUACAAUCACCAGGCGAUGACGAAUUACGAGCUUAGCGCUGAUUACGUCGACAGCACGACGACCUACGAUCCCAGGCCGACGCAGACACAGGUCGCGGAUACCGUCGCUCCCGACACACUUUCAGCUGUCACGGCAACCGGGGUGCUCCCCAGCGUAGUCACCACCGGGAAGUCUCUGUCCGCCUCGACGACCGGGAGCGGCGCGGGGGGUGGCGGUACCGGCAAUGGCAACGGCAGCGGCAGUAGUGGUGGUGGUGGUAACGGUGGUGGCGGUACUGGUAGCGGUAGUAAUAGUGGUAACGCUGGUGGUAGCGGUUCCGCCGCGGCCGCCGGAGGGGCUGCUAGUGGCGGCAGCGGUUCGCUGAGCGGCGGCGGAAUCGUCGCCGUAAAGCAGGAGACCACGGUCGAGCUCGCCGGCCUGGGCCAUGGCUCGUACACGAUGGUCGACUCGACGACCUUCCUAAGCGGCCAGCAGCAAAGGGUCAGCAACCCAUCCGAGGACGACGAAGUGCCGAGUCUGCCCAGUAUGUCCCAUGCGAUGAGAUAUCCGGCACAGAUCAGCGAGCUUCUCUCGAAAACGAUAGCGGACGCGCACGCAAGGACAUGCCUGGUAUCUACGGAACAGAUCCAAGAGUCCUUCCGGAAGUCCGACAUCUCCAGAACGCACUUUUAUAAAAACAUGGCGCACGAGCAACUCUGGUUGGAGUGUGCCCAGAAACUAACCACCGUCAUUCAGCAGAUCAUCGAGUUCGCCAAAAUGGUCCCUGGAUUCAUGAAGCUCUCGCAAGAUGAUCAGAUCGUUUUAUUAAAGGCCGGUUCCUUCGAGUUGGCUGUGCUACGAAUGAGCAGGUACCUCGAUCUCCAGCAAAACUACAUUCUAUACGGCGAUACCUUGUUGCUGCAGGAGGCAUUUUAUACGACGGAUACGGCGGAAAUGAAGCUUGUUUCCUGCGUAUUCGAGCUGGCCAGAAGUAUCGCCGAACUGAAGCUUACUGAAACCGAGUUGGCACUCUAUAGCGCGGCUGUUCUACUUAGCCCUGAUCGACCGGGACUAAAAUGCCUGGGGGACAUCAAUAGGCUGUCACAGGCGGUGAUCAGAGCGUUGAGGUCAGAACUUGAACGGAAUCACGUGACGCCGAUCAAAGGCGAUGUGACCGUGUGCGACGCGAUCCUCGCCAAGAUACCGCAGCUACGAGAGAUCUCGCUACUGCACAUGGAUGCGCUGGCUAAAUUCAAGCGGUCGCAGCCGCACCUCGAGUUUCCGGCCCUCCACAAGGAGCUCUUCAGCGUCGACAGCUGAAUGAGCGACGCGGCGCGGAGUGUCAUCCCGGCGCUGCCGAGUGGACAGGAACGCGAGUAGCAUCGCGGAUCUUGCUCGGUCAAGAUAAUUUCCUUCGUAAUGAACGUAUUGGGCCUUAAAUAAACAUAAAACAUUGUUAUAUAUAAAGUAUACAUAAAAAGCAACAUAAAAUAUAUACAGAAGAAAUAUAUAUAUAUAUAUAUAUAUAUAUAUAUAAAUAUAAAUAUAUAAAUAUAUACAUAGUGUAAAUGCGUAUGUGUAUACGCGCGCGCGAUACGUCUUACCGACGCAAAGGUGUAUACACAUACGCACAUGUCGUUAUAAGAUUAUAUUAUAUAGACAAAGGAAAAAAUCGCGAAUGCGUGCGAAGUGAACGAGCGAGCGAGCGAGCGAAAGCGAGAGAAUGUGCGUGUGUAAGCGUGAAACAGACGAGCGAAUAUGAAAGAGAGCGAGAGAACUGAGAUAUCGGUUGUUACGAUACAUACAUAAAAUAUAUAUUGUAUUAAUUAAAAAAAAAAUAGUAAAAGAAGGAGAAGAGAGAAGAAGAGGGGAACGGUGAUUAACCAAGUCCUGCUUAGACGGUUCUAGGACGAGAUAACAUAAUAUAAUAUUAUAAUUGAGAAUUGGCAUUUUUUUUUUUUUAUGGGAAGAAAAUCUUGAUCGGUCCGCUCAUGCGACAUAGAGACCGAUAUUAUUACACACGUCGAACAGAGAGAAUACGAGAGCGAGCAAACCCAGCGAUUAGCGUCGACGAAGGGUAGAGCUUAUAUUGCUGAGGGCGAGGAAUCGUGGAACCGCGUCAAAGUUGGGUGUAAUUAAGCGCGAUAAUGGCGAUAAGGAGCAUGUUUUUAUCACGUUUUAGAAUUUCUUCUUCCAAUUUUUGCUCGAUUAUCUCUCAUGUUCCAACUUUAUCUCGCCUUCGUUAUUAAUUGCUAUUUGUAUCUUGAUCGUCAAUCAUGGACAAAAAGUAAAAUUUAGUACAAAAGAAAUUUGCGCGUGAUUAUAUUAAUAAUAAAACAUAGAUAGAUUGAUAAAGACGUGUAAAAAAUAAAUUUUUUAAUAAAUGAAACGUUAACAAUUAAGAAAUGUAAUGAAAAAACUAUCAACAAAGAAAAAGAACUUUAGGAACGGGCAAGAAGAAAGGGACAAGGAAUUUAAAAGCAAAUUAUAAAAGUUGAAAGUGUGAUGAAAAUCGAUAACAAGAAAUUAAAAGUAUUUUAGAAAUUGAUAAAAAAACAUGAUCACAUCAAUCGUCAUUAUUGUAGUCAACUUGUACGAGCUGUGAGAUGAUCAAAGUUUCUUCUUUCCGCUCGUAUAACCGGUAAAGGACGCGUCACUUCGCUAAAUAUUCAAUUAAAUUUUAAUAAGAAGAGACAUGACUAAAGAAGCAAGUAUAAAGCACUCUUAAAGAUACGACAGAGCUAGUUCUAGAUAUACUCUUUUAAUCACGAUUAAUCUUAACACGUAUUACAUCAUCGAUUCGAUAUUGAAAUUUCUUUUGCCUUAGCAAGAAUAUUCGAAUAAACGCGUCCUUACAAUUAGCUUAAAUGCAAAAAUGUCGCCAGCGGUUACGCGUUCCGCCGUCGUCGUCACUUCGAGUAGUGAUUCGAGUGUAGAGUUCUGAGCUACUUUAUAUAUAUAUAGCAUAAAUACAUAUAUAUAAAUAAAAAUAUAUAUAUAUAUAUAUAUAUAAAUUAAUAAAUAUAUAAAUAUAUAAAUAAAUAAAUAUAUAUAAACACUAUACAUAUGGGAGUAUAUUUCGAGGAGCGGAACGAUCAAGAUUCGACGGUUUUCGCGAUUAAUGAUUACGAUCAGCGUUAUAGACAGAGAUUUUUCGUCCUUGGACCAACUCGGCCGGAUUACACGGAUAAUGAUGACACAUAACACGCUCACGCGAAUCCAUACACACAUAUACGCAGAGACAGACAAAGAGAAGAAAGGGAGUGAAAGAGAGAAAGAAAGAGAAUGAAAGUGAGAGCGAGAGAAAAAUAUUAUAUGAUUUGUGACGCGCGGAUGCAAAUUUCACGGAUGCAGGCGUAGAUAGAGCUAAUCGAUCGCAUUAUGCGCGCGCAUUAAAAACGUUUUUGGUACUGUAUGGCACUUGUAUGACGCGUCUCUUUAUACGUAAAUCGUAUACUUCUUAUGGAUAAAAAAAAAAGAAAAAAAAAAACCACAAUAGCCCGUCAUUGCGCGCUAAGACACCCUCACGAAGCGUUUAUAUACGCACCGUCACCGGCUUUCCUCGCUGUCGUCGAUCAUUGAUCGAAGAUCAGGAUGGAGAUUAGGAAGGGAUUUAAUAAUGGCUCGCUGUUAUUCAUCGACACUUUCGCGACCGCCCGCGUAUUUUUAGAUGAAAAUUACGUCGGUCAUUGGGCGCCGAGCCGAUUAAAAUGCAUUCGUACGCCUUCGCGUCGUUGUUAAGUAUAAAAUUAUGUUGCUAAGAGGCAGAUUGGAAUAAAGAAAAGGUAUUCGUACGCCAUCACUUUUAUGCUAUAAAUAACACUAUGUUGUUAAGAAACUGAAGUAAUAAGAGUAUUUGUAAGUCCUAUCUUGUGCUUUUAUUAUAAAUAUUUUUAACUUGUUAUACGUAUAUUGUGUAUGUAUGUAUGUAUAUAUAUAUAUAUAUAUAUAUAUAUAUAUAUAUAUAUAUAUAUGAGAGAGAUAUUUAAACUCUUUAAGAAUCCUAAAAAUAUAUAGAGAGCUUGUAAUAUAUCGAUUUAAAGAAUAAUGCUAUAUAUAUUUAAAAUUGCAACACACAUCUUUAUUUAAGAGUUACUUAUAGCGAUGACGUGCGAAUACUAUGUGUCUUAUUCUAUAGUGAAUUUGUUUAAGACAAAUUAUGAAUAUUGCAGCUAAUUAUGUAAACCCUAAACGGUAUAAGCGGGAUAUGACAGAUCGUUUUCAAUUAUAGAAACUUCAUAGCGCUCUAUUAUUAUUUGUUUGUAUUUAUAAAGUUUACUAUAAAUAAAUAAAAUCUUAUUUCCACACGUAUAAAUUACGGACAUCUUUUAUUUUUCUGUUGGGAUUGUAUAUAAAUAUUUAUUAUUAUAAAAUCUACGCAGUAUGUUGUGUGCUCGUCUUUGGUCUUUUUAUAUAAUUACGUAAGUAAAAUAAUUUAUACUGUUUAGGGUAACGCAGUCUUUAACAGUUAUCACGUAUUUAACCCAUUAUAAUUUCUAUUUUGAAAGUUUAUAAUGGUAAUGAUGAAAUAAUGUCAGAAAAAAAAUCAUCAGAGAUUUGUGUUAAAAGUUCUGAACAUUUUUUUUGACAUUUAACUUUCUAAUAACGAUAUUAAGAUAGUUAUACUUCACUUAUAUUUAGUGUAUAACACACAGUUAUAUAUAAAAGUAUAUAUAUAUAUAUAUAUAUAAAGCAUAAAUAUAAUAUAAUAAUUGCGAUCUUUAAUGGGUUGAAAAUGUACCGAUAUCAAAACUGCAAUUUAAACUUGCAGUUAAAUAUUAGCGGUUGCGAAAGUGUUAAAUGUAUUGUUAUUAGCUCUUUAUAAUUCGAUUUAUUAUAUAUUUAUAUAUCAUUAUUUGCUCGACUGGCAGGAUUAUUAAAACAAAUACUCACAUUCAGCUUGGAUGAUAAUUUGCAAUUCUUAAAUAUGCCUUCGUAAUAAUGACUUUGUAAUUUUUAUUAGAUGAAUUGUUGUUUACGAAUGUUAACGUAAAUUUUACAGAAAUUUAAUAUGGUAACAAGAAUAUUAGAUUUGCUCAUGACAUAAUAUAUUAACUUAUACACAUAAAUAGAAUAUUAAUAUUUUAUUAUUCAUAUUUAUUAAAUUUGAGAAAAAAAUUGGAGGGUAAUCUUGUAAAAAGAUCUCAAAUUUUAUAUUGUAUUAAAUGCAUAUAGUUUUAAUUUUUUUAGAUCAUAAAAUUUUAGAUUGAUCUUUUUUUUGCUUUAAGUUUAUUAAAUUUCUUAAACUUUUAAUUUUUCAAAAUUUUUAGGCGUGAAUCUUUGAUGUUUCAAAUACGUUUUAAUCUUUAAAUUAUUGUCACAUUAUUUGUUUCUUGCAUUCUCGGAUUUUGAUUGUUAAAAAAAUUCUUAGGUUUUAAAGUUAUUACUAAAACAGCAAAGAACGAGGAAACAGAUUACUUUAAAAUACUACUAUUAAUUAUCAUAGUAGAAAUUUGAAAUUAUUUUAAACUUUUAAUGUGAAGGUAAAUGACAUAAAUGUUUGUUAUUGUUAUCUUUAAAACAAUAUUUUAAAAUUGUUUCAAAAUAAGAUAAAAUCAUAUUACAAUGAUUAUAAUGAUAAGAUUAUAAUUAGCUCAAUGAAGGAUAACUCUCGGAUGCAUGUACAGAGUCACAUUGUUCUAAUAGAGAUUUCGAUUUGCAGUCAAGAAUUGUGCACCUGCUUUUUUACAUCUGUUUUAUUUUAAUAAAUUACGCUAUUUGCUAAAUCAAAUUAUGUCAAUAACAUUAGUAUAAAUCUUUGGUAUAAAAAAUUAUAAUUCCGUUAUUUUUUCAUGAGAGCUAAAAGAGUGUCUAAUUAUCACACAAAAAAGGCAGCUAGUUAUUUUGUAUUAUUUUUAAAUAUUAAUGGAUUAGUGAUACGUAUUUACAUUAUAUUCGCAUAAUAUUUUCUUUCUAUAAUUGCAAAGAUAAAAAUAGAUUUUCUCAAAUUUCAAAAAAUUCUUUCUGCAUCAAUCUCGUUACCAUUGAUAAAAUUGAUUGAUAAAAAUACUAAUUUUUUAUUCUUCUUGAAUAAACUCCUUUGUAUAAGACAGCAUGCAAGAAAAAGACUUAAUAUACAUCCGAGAGAAUCAAACGCGAUUGUAAAAGGAUCGACGAGAGCGACGGCGAAUCCGUCACGGUGCGCCGACUGACACGCUUUCGGACGGUUGCAUAUAUUUAUAGCGAAAAAUUACGAGAAUGCAUAUUAUUCUGCCGAUUAACAAAUAAGUGCGUAGGAUUCGUUUAUUGUAGAUCGAACACGUGCACAGUCAUGUUACGCGCGAGUGCAAAAUGCAUACCAUCUACGAUACCCUUCUUCGCUCACAUCUUUAUAUCCCCUUAUUCAAGAGCAACACACAUACACACACACGUACACAGAAUACGUACGCGUAUACGAAUACACAUAGUUACACAUACAUAAAACACACACGCGUAUAAUAAGGCGCAACACGUACACGCGCACGCACGUUGCAAUUAGACGUUAUUAUCGCAAUUUGGAGUUAAAUUUUAUAAUAUAUAAUAUAUAAAAAAUAUAUAUAAUAAAUAAAAGAGUUGACGGAUAAUAUAGAGUUAUAUUAAAUAUCUAAACAAAGA